rnacentral:rRNA from 1 species
GACGAACGCUGUCGGCGUGCUUAACACAUGCAAGUCGAACGGAAAGGCCCUGCUUUUGUGGGGUGCUCGAGUGGCGAACGGGUGAGUAACACGUGAGUAACCUGCCCUUGACUUUGGGAUAACUUCAGGAAACCGGGGCUAAUACCGGAUAGGAGCUCCUGCUGCAUGGUGGGGGUUGGAAAGUUUCGGCGGUUGGGGAUGGACUCGCGGCUUAUCAGCUUGUUGGUGGGGUAGUGGCUUACCAAGGCUUUGACGGGUAGCCGGCCUGAGAGGGUGACCGGCCACAUUGGGACUGAGAUACGGCCCAGACUCCCACGGGAGGCAGCAGUGGGGAAUAUUGCACAAUGGGCGGAAGCCUGAUGCAGCAACGCCGCGUGCGGGAUGACGGCCUUCGGGUUGUAAACCGCUUUCGCCUGUGACGAAGCGUGAGUGACGGUAAUGGGUAAAGAAGCACCGGCUAACUACGUGCCAGCAGCCGCGGUGAUACGUAGGGUGCGAGCGUUGUCCGGAUUUAUUGGGCGUAAAGGGCUCGUAGGUGGUUGAUCGCGUCGGAAGUGUAAUCUUGGGGCUUAACCCUGAGCGUGCUUUCGAUACGGGUUGACUUGAGGAAGGUAGGGGAGAAUGGAAUUCCUGGUGGAGCGGUGGAAUGCGCAGAUAUCAGGAGGAACACCAGUGGCGAAGGCGGUUCUCUGGGCCUUUCCUGACGCUGAGGAGCGAAAGCGUGGGGAGCGAACAGGCUUAGAUACCCUGGUAGUCCACGCUGUAAACGGUGGGUACUAGGUGUGGGGUCCAUUCCACGGGUUCCGUGCCGUAGCUAACGCUUUAAGUACCCCGCCUGGGGAGUACGGCCGCAAGGCUAAAACUCAAAGGAAUUGACGGGGCCCCGCACAAGCGGCGGAGCAUGCGGAUUAAUUCGAUGCAACGCGUAGAACCUUACCUGGGUUUGACAUGGAUCGGGAGUGCUCAGAGAUGGGUGUGCCUCUUUUGGGGUCGGUUCACAGGUGGUGCAUGGCUGUCGUCAGCUCGUGUCGUGAGAUGUUGGGUUAUGUCCCGCAACGAGCGCAACCCUUGUUCACUGUUGCCAGCACGUUAUGGUGGGGACUCAGUGGAGACCGCCGGGGUCAACUCGGAGGAAGGUGGGGAUGACGUCAAGUCAUCAUGCCCCUUAUGUCCAGGGCUUCACGCAUGCUACAAUGGCUGGUACAGAGAGUGGCGAGCCUGUGAGGGUGAGCGAAUCUCGGAAAGCCGGUCUCAGUUCGGAUUGGGGUCUGCAACUCGACCUCAUGAAGUCGGAGUCGCUAGUAAUCGCAGAUCAGCAACGCUGCGGUGAAUACGUUCCCGGG